UACGUAGGGGGCAAGCGUUGUCCGGAUUUAUUGGGCGUAAAGAGCGUGUAGGCGGCCAGAUAGGUCCGUUGUGAAAACUGGAGGCUUAACCUCCAGCUGUCGAUGGAAACCAUCUGGCUAGAGUCCGGAAGAGGAGAGUGGAAUUCCUGGUGUAGCGGUGAAAUGCGCAGAUAUCAGGAAGAACACCCGUGGCGAAGGCGGCUCUCUGGGACGGUACUGACGCUGAUGCGCGAAAGCGUGGGGAGCAAACGGG
rnacentral:rRNA from 1 species